rnacentral:rRNA from 1 species
CUUACCAUGCAGUCGACGCUGAGCUGGGUGCUUGCACCUGGUGGAUGAGUGGCGAACGGGUGAGUAAUACGUGAGUGACCUUCCUUGGACUCUGGGAUAAGCCCGGGAAACUGGGUCUAAUACCGGAUACGACCAGUCCUCGCAUGGGGUGCUGGUGGAAAGGGUUUGUACUGGUUCUUGAUGGGCUCACGUCCUAUCAGCUUGUUGGUGAGGUAAUGGCUUACCAAGGCGACGACGGGUAGCCGGCCUGAGAGGGUGACCGGCCACACUGGGACUGAGACACGGCCCAGACUCCUACGGGAGGCAGCAGUGGGGAAUAUUGCACAAUGGGCGCAAGCCUGAUGCAGCGACGCCGCGUGGGGGAUGACGGCCUUCGGGUUGUAAACCUCUUUCAGCAGGGAAGAAGCGAAAGUGACGGUACCUGCAGAAGAAGCGCCGGCUAACUACGUGCCAGCAGCCGCGGUAAUACGUAGGGCGCAAGCGUUGUCCGGAAUUAUUGGGCGUAAAGAGCUCGUAGGCGGUUUGUCGCGUCUGCUGUGAAAGCCCGGGGCUCAACCCCGGGUGUGCAGUGGGUACGGGCAGGCUGGAGUGCAGUAGGGGAGACUGGAAUUCCUGGUGUAGCGGUGAAAUGCGCAGAUAUCAGGAGGAACACCGAUGGCGAAGGCAGGUCUCUGGGCUGUUACUGACGCUGAGGAGCGAAAGCAUGGGGAGCGAACAGGAUUAGAUACCCUGGUAGUCCAUGCCGUAAACGUUGGGCACUAGGUGUGGGGGACAUUC